rnacentral:misc_RNA from 1 species
GGGAUACGCCGCAUCCUUGCAGAGCGCGAACCUCAGUCCACCCCAGGGUAUUACACAGUGGGCUAUAACACUCCCGAGGGAGCCACAUUCCCAAAGCCUUUAUCCCCCGGGGCGAACUGAUGCUGGCCUGGGCAGGCAGAGUGCACCGCGGAGAACCACGGAUGAUCAACCUGCCCAAGUCUGGUCAUGAACGCUUCCCUUUCAACAAUUUCACGUACUUUUUAACCCUCUUUUCAAAGUGCUUUUCAUCUUUCGAUCACUCUACUUGUGCGCUAUCGGUCUCUGGCCGGUAUUUAGCUUUAGAAGACGUAUACCUCCCAUUUAGAGCAGCAUUCCCAAACUACUCGACUCGUCGAAGGAGUUUCACAGAGGCUAGGCAUCCAACCGUACGGGGCUCUCACCCUCUAUGGCGUCCCGUUCCAGGGAACUCGGAAGGCACGUCGCCAGAAACAUCCUCUACAAAUUACAACUCGGGCUUGCGCCAGAUUUCAAAUUUGAGCUGUUGCCGCUUCACUCGCCGUUACUAGGGCAAUCCCUGUUGGUUUCUUUUCCUCCGCUUAUUGAUAUGCUUAAGUUCAGCGGGUAUUCCUACCUGAUCUGAGGUCAACCUUGGAAAGUUGGGGGUUUAACGGCAGGGGCUCGUCGCUCUCCGAUGCGGAAUAUCACUACUUCGCAGAGGAGGCCACGACGGGUCCGCCACUAGAUUUAGGGGCCGGCCGUCCCUCGCGGGCUUUGGCCGAUCCCCAACACCACGCCCUAGGGGCAUGAGGGUUGAAAUGACGCUCAGACAGGCAUGCCCGCCAGAAUACUGGCGGGCGCAAUGUGCGUUCAAAGAUUCGAUGAUUCACUGAAUUCUGCAAUUCACAUUACUUAUCGCAUUUCGCUGCGUUCUUCAUCGAUGCCAGAACCAAGAGAUCCGUUGUUGAAAGUUUUUAUUUAUUUGUAAAAACUACUCAGAAGAUUCCAAAAUAAAACAAGAGUUAAGGUUCCUAGGCGGGCGCCUGAUCCGGGGCACACGAAGCGCCCGGGGCAAUCCCGCCGAAGCAACAGUAGGUAUGUUCACAUGGGUUUGGAAGUUGUAAACUCGGUAAUGAUCCCUCCCAGGUUUCUCCUUACGGAAAACCCC